rnacentral:pre_miRNA from 1 species
UUGGAAAUUACAGGGCAACAUCUCUAUUGGCAGGUUGCUACUGCUUAGACACACGAAUUAAUUAUGUGUGUUCCUAUGAGUGUGCAUUCUGCCAAAGGAGAUUUGCCCGGCAAUUCUUCU